CGGCAGUGUGUUAUCAAUGUGAUCUGUGGAAGAAGGAGGGGAGGCGUUUCAAAGUGCAUCUCCCCAGAAAACAGUCGGCUCGGCCUUAUCAUCCAAGCCGGCCAAAUUUCAGGCCCUCUGGGAAAGGAUCUCGGCCUUCUUGCCCUCCUCCGUCACAGCAGUUGGGAAACACGGCCCUGCAGCCGAAGCCCAGUUUUGUGAGACCGAAGCAGUCUUUCACAGCCACGGCUGCGACCUACCGGCCAACAAACCCUCAGGGUACCAAGAACAGGUGGGUGACCCAAGACGUCACCUGGGCAACAGGAAUGGUUCAGACAGCGCACUCAGGGUCCCUCCCUCUCAACCCUUCAGAGGGACACCCCUCUCCCUCCCGCGAGGUAAAGGAGAAGGGUGGAAAGUCUGUACAUAGUUCAUGCGGACGGUCCAGUGUCUAGCAUGCACAGGAGAAUGGCCCAUCCUCCUUGCUCGUGAAAAGAGUGAUAAGAAGACUCCUGGCAGAAGAAAGUCGUCAAGGCUUUUGUUCCUGGCAUUUUGUGAUUCCCAAAGGGUGAAGCUGGGUAGGGGGGAUUGCCGUCUCAUUCUGGAUUAACAGGUUCUCAACAAAUACCUCAGGAAGUACAGGCGUCAUCUCUGCCACACCAGUGAUGUUUUCAAGUUCUGUUGGACGCUGUUUGUGUACACCAAAGGCAAUUUCCAUAUGAUUGGAGAUGAUCUGGUCAAC
ensembl:lncRNA